GACAGCAGCCGCCGCGGUAAUACGGAGGGUGCAAGCGUUAAUCGGAAUUACUGGGCGUAAAGCGCACGCAGGCGGUCUGUCAAGUCGGAUGUGAAAUCCCCGGGCUCAACCUGGGAACUGCAUUCGAAACUGGCAGGCUAGAGUCUUGUAGAGGGGGGUAGAAUUCCAGGUGUAGCGGUGAAAUGCGUAGAGAUCUGGAGGAAUACCGGUGGCGAAGGCGGCCCCCUGGACAAAGACUGACGCUCAGGUGCGAAAGCGUGGGGAGCAAACAGGAUUAGAUACCCGUGUAGUCCCUGUCUCUUAUAA
rnacentral:rRNA from 1 species